rnacentral:tRNA from 1 species
UCCUGAUUUGCUCGGUUGGUAGAGCUCUCCACAGGAAAUGGAGAGGUCCCUGGUUCGAUACCAUGACCAGGCG